GGCGGCAUGCCUUACACAUGCAAGUCGAACGGCAACACGGGAGCAAUCCUGGUGGCGAGUGGCGAACGGGUGAGUAAUAUAUCGGAACGUGCCCUGGAGUGGGGGAUAACUAGUCGAAAGAUUAGCUAAUACCGCAUACGAUCUAAGGAUGAAAGUGGGGGAUCUUAGGACCUCAUGCUCGUGGAGCGGCCGAUAUCUGAUUAGCUAGUUGGUAGGGUAAAAGCCUACCAAGGCAUCGAUCAGUAGCUGGUCUGAGAGGACGACCAGCCACACUGGGACUGAGACACGGCCCAGACUCCUACGGGAGGCAGCAGUGGGGAAUUUUGGACAAUGGGCGCAAGCCUGAUCCAGCAAUGCCGCGUGAGUGAAGAAGGCCUUCGGGUUGUAAAGCUCUUUUGUCAGGGAAGAAACGGUGAGGGCUAAUAUCCUUUGCUAAUGACGGUACCUGAAGAAUAAGCACCGGCUAACUACGUGCCAGCAGCCGCGGUAAUACGUAGGGUGCAAGCGUUAAUCGGAAUUACUGGGCGUAAAGCGUGCGCAGGCGGUUAUGUAAGACAGAUGUGAAAUGCCCGGGCUUAACCUGGGAACUGCAUUUGUGACUGCAUGGCUA
rnacentral:rRNA from 1 species